rnacentral:lncRNA from 1 species
CGGAUGGGUUGUAGGACAUGAAAACAAUAUAGCACUAGACUUAUGGGACGAACACAAGGACACUCGAAACUAAGGAUAGAUGUGAACCUAACGGUACGUCUGAAGCUUUGAUUACCAAUUGAGGAGAACAAGUGUGGCCCGAUCUUCCAAAAGGUCCGGGUAACUAUCGAUUUGGUGGAAACGAGACCCAAAUCAGUCCACCUUGCGAACAACACGAUUCGAAACCCUACAAUUCUUUUCAUUUUUUUUAUUUGAUAUUUUGUUUUACUUAGGAGCACCGAAGAAGUAGCCAUAGAAAAUUUGAGCUUAAACAAGUGAAAGACGUGGCCUGUGGAAUUUUUUGUAGAUUGCGAAAAAUAUGAAAAUAAACUUUAGGAGGUGAAAACUCAAAUUUAGAGGCGAAUUUGGGGAUUCUAAAUUUGUCGAGCCCGCCUACGGGGGGAUAGAUAGACCCAUAAAUUUUUUCUGAUUGAUUUUGAAAUACAUUGAUUUUGAUAUAUGGAAUAUCAAAAUCGGAGUUCGUAUGCGAAAGUUAUGGUUGUUUUACGAACGGACUCCGAAUUAGAGGACAAAACAGUCCGGAAGUGGGAAAAAGUUGCGGCGGUGGCUAUAAAUUGAUGGAAAUGGUGGGAAGAAACACAUGAAUUGGACUCUAACAAGACCUAACCAGCAACAAGAUCUCGACCAGGACACAAACUCAACACUACGGACUCUGAAACUGAAAUAUGCACAGGCUAUGGCGCGGAUGGGAUGUAGGACAUGAAAACAAUAUAGCAGUAGACUUAUGGGACGAACACAAGGACACUUGAAACUAAGGAUAGAUGUGAACCUAACGGUACGUCUGAAGCUUUGAUUAACACUUGAGGACAACAAGUGUGUCCCGAUCUUCCGAAAGGUUCUGGUAACUAUCGAUUUGGUGGAAACGAGACCCAAAUCAAUCCACCUUGCGAACAACGCGGUUUGAAACCCUGCAAUUCUUUUUAUUUUUUUGAUAUUUUUCUUUUACUUAGGAGCACUCAAGAAGUAACCACAGAAAAUUUGAGCUUAAAUAAGUGAAAGACGUGGUCUGUGGAAUUUUUUGAAGAUUGCGAAAAAUAUGAAAAUAAACUUUAAGAGGUGAAAACUCAAAAUUAGAGGCAAAUUUGGGGAUUCUAAAUUUGUCGAACCCACCAAUGGUGGGGAUAGACAGACCCAAAAAUUUUUUCUGAUUGAUUUUGAUUUAUGGAACGUCAAAAUCGGAGAUCGUAUGCGAAUGUUAUGGUUGUUUUAAGAACGGACUCAGAAUUAGAGGACAAAACAGUCCGGAAGUGGGAAAAAUUUGCGGCGGUGGCUAUAAAUUGAUGGAAACGGUGGGAAAAAACACACAAAUUGGACUCAAACAAGACCUAACCAGUAACAAGACCUCGACCAGGACACAAACUCAACACUACGGACUCUGAAACUGAAAUAUGCAAAGACUAUGGUGCGGAUGGGUUGUAGGACAUGAAAACAAUAUGGCACCAGACUUAUGGGACGAACACAAGGACACUCGAAACUAAGGGUAGAUGUGAACCUAACGUUAUCUCUGAAGCUUUGAUUACCACUUGAGGAGAAUAAGUGUGGCCUGAUCUUCCAAAAGUUUCUGGCAACUAUCGAUUUGGUGGAAAAGAGACACAAAUCAAUGCAGCUUGCGAACAACACAGUUCGAAACCUGCAAUUCUUUUUAUUUUUUUUUUGAUAUUUUUCUUUUACUUAGGAGCACUCAAGAAGUAACCACAGGAAAUUUGAGCUUGAACAAGAGAAAGACGUGGCCUGUGGAAACUUUUGAAGAUUGCGAAAAAUAUAAAGAAAACUUUAGGAGGUGAAAACUCAAACUUCAGAGGCGAAUUUGGGGAUUGUAAAUUUGUUGAACCCGCCAAUGGCGGGCAUAGACAGACAUCGAUUUUGAUAUAUGGAACGUCAAAAUCGGAGUUCGUAUGCGAAAGUUAUGGCUGUUUUACGAACGCACUCCGAAUUAGAGGACAAAACAGUCCGGAAGUGGGAAAAUUUGCGGCGGUGGCUAUAAAUUGAUGGAAACGGUGGGAAGAAACAUACAAAUUGGACUCUAACAAGACCUAACCAGUAACAAGACCUCGACCAGGACACAAACUCAACACUACGGACUCUGAAACUGAAAUAUGGAAAGGCUAUGGCGCGGAUGGGUUGUAGGACAUGAAAACAAUAUAGCACUAGACUUAUGGGACGAACACAAGGACACUCGAAACUAAGGAUAGAUGUGAACCUAACGGUACGUCUGAAGCUUUGAUUACCACUUGAGGAGAACAAGUGUGGCCCGAUCUUCCGAAAGGUUCUGGUAACUAUCGAUUUGGUAGAAACGAGACCCAAAUCAAUCCACCUUGCGAACAACAUGAUUCGAAACACUACAAUUCUUUUUAUUUUUUUUAUUUGUUAUUUUCUUUUACUUAGGAGCACCGAAGAAGUAGCCACAGGAAAUUUGAGCUUAAACAAGUGAAAGACGUGGCCUGUGGAAUUUUUUGUAGAUUGCAAAAAAUAUGAAAAUAAACUCUAGGAGGUGAAAACUCAAACUUCAGAGGCGAAUUUGGGGAUUCUAAAUUUGUCGAACCCGCCUUUGGGGGAUAGACAGACCCAAAAAAUUUUUCUAAUUGAUUUUGAUAUAUGGAACGUCAAAAUCGGAGUUCGUAUGCGAAAGUUAUGGCUGUUUUACGAACGGACCCCAAAUUAGAGGACAAAACAGUCCGGAUGUGGGAAAAAUUUGCGGCGGUGGUUAUAAAUUGAUGGAAACGGUGGGAAGAAACACACAAAUUGGACUCUAACAAGACCUAACCAGUAACAAGACCUUGACUAGGACACAAAACACUACGGACUCUGAAACUGAAAUAUGCAAAGGCUAUGGCGCGGAUGGGUUGUAGGACAUGAAAACAAUAUGGCACCAGACUUAUGGGACGAACACAAGGACACUCGAAACUAAGGGUAGAUGUGAACCUAACGGUAUGUCUGAAGCUUUGAUUACCACUUGAGGAGAAUAAGUGUGGCCCGAUCUUCCGAAAGGUUGUGGUAACUAUCGAUUUGGUGGAAAAGAGACACAAAUCAAUCGAGCUUGCGAACAACACGGUUCGAAACCUGCAAUUCUUUUUAUUUUUUUUGAUAUUUUUCUAUUACUUAGGAGCACUCAAGAAGUAACCAAAGGAAAUUUGAGCUUAAACAAGUGAAAGACGUGGCCUGUGGAAUUUUUUGAAGAUUGCGAAAAAUAUAAAAAAAACUUUAGGAGGUCAAAACUCAAACUUCAGGGGUGAAUUUGGGGAUUCUAAAAUUAUUGAACCCACCUCUAGCGGAGAUAGACAGAUCCAAAAAUUUGUUCUGAUCGAUUUUGAUAUAUGCAACGUCAAAAUCGGAGUUCGUAUGCGAAAGUUAUGGCUGUUUUACGAACGGACUCCGAAUUAGAGGACAAAACGUCCGGAAGUGGGAAAAAUUUGCGUUGGUGGCUAGAAAUUGAUGGAAACGGUAGGAAAAAACACACAAACUGGACUCAAACAAGACCUAACUAGUAACAAGACCUCGACCUGGACACAAUCUCAAAACUACGGAUUCUGAAACUGAAAUAUGCAAAGGCUAUAGCGCGGAUGGGUUGUAGGACAUGAAAACAAUAUGACACUAGACUUAUGAGACGAACACAAGGACACUCGAAACUAAGUGUAGAUGUGAACCUAACGGUAUGUCUGAUGCUUUGAUUACCACUUGAGGAGAACAAGUGUGGCCCGAUCUUCCAAAAGAUUCUGGUAACUGUCGAUUUCGUGGAAACGAGACACAAAUCAAUCCAGCUUGCGAACAACACGAUUCGAAACCCUACAAUCCUUUUUAUUUUUUUUUGAUGUUUUUCUUUUACUUAGGAGCACUCAAGAAGUAACCACUGGAAAUUUGAGCUUAAACAAGUGAAAGACGUGAGCUGUGGAAACUUUUGAAUAUUGCGAAAAAUAUGAAAAAAAAAUUUUGGAGGUGAAAACUCAAACUUCAGAGGCAAAUUUGGGGAUUCUAAAAUUGUCAAACCCGCACACGGCAGGGAUAGACAGAUCCAAAAAUUUGGUUUGAUCGAUUUUGAUAUAUGGAACGUCAAAAUCGGAGUUCGUAUGCGAAAAUUAUGGCUGCAUUACGAACGGACACCGAAUGAGAAGACAAAACGGUCCGGAAGUGGGAAAAAUUUGCGGCGGUGGCUAGAAAUUGAUGGAAACGGUGAGAAGAAACACAUAAAUUGGACUCUAACAAGACCUAACCAGUAACAAGAUCUCGACCAGGACACAAACUCAACACUACGGACUCUGAAACUGAAAUAUGCAAAGGCUAUGGCGCAGAUGGGUUGUAGGACAUGAAAACAAUAUAGCACUAGACUUUUAGGACGAACACAAGGACACUCGAAACUAAGGAUAGAUGUGAACCUAACGGUACGUCUGAAGCUUUGAUUACCACUUGAGGAGAACAAGUGUGGCCCGAUCUUCCGAAAGGUUCUGGUAACUAUCGAUUUGGUGGAAACGAGACGCAAAUCAAUCCACCUUGCGAACAACACGAUUUGAAACCCUACAAUUCUUUUUUUUAUUUGAUAUUUUUCUUUUACUUAGGAGCACCAAAGAAGUAGCCACAGGAAAUUUGAGCUUAAACAAGUGAAAGACGUGGCCUGUGGAAUUUUUUGUAGAUUGCGAAAAAUAUGAAAAUAAACUUUAGGAGGUGAAAACUCAAACAUCAGAGGCGAAUUUGGGGAUUCUAAAUUUGUCGAACCCGCUCUUUGCGAGGAUAGACAGACCCAAAAAUUUUUUCUGAUUGAUUUUGAUAUAUGGCACGUCAAAAUCGGAGUUCGUAUGCGAAAGUUAUGGCUGUUUUACGAAUGGACUCCGAAUUAGAGGACAAAACGGUCCGGAAGUGGGAAAAAUUUGUGGUGGUGGCUAGAAAUUGAUGGAAACGGUGGGAAGAAACACACAAAUUGGACUCUAACAAGACCUAACCAGUAACAAGACCUCGACCAGGAUACAAACUCAACACUACGGACUAUGAAACUGAAAUAUGCAAAGGGUAUGGCGCAGAUGGGUUGUGGGACAUGAAAACAGUAUGGCACCAGACUUAUGGGACGAACACAAGGACACUCGAAAUUAAGGGUAGAUGUGAACCUAACUGUAUGUCUGAAGCUUUGAUUACCACUUGAGGAGAAUAUGUGUGGCCCAAUCUUCUGAAAGGUUCUGGUAACUAUCGAUUUGGUGGAAAAGAGACACAAAUCAAUCCAGCUUGCGAACAACACGGUUCGAAACCUGCAAUUCUUUUUAUUUUUGUUGAUAUUUUUCAUUUACUUAGGAGCACUCAUGAAGUAACCACAGGAAAUUUGAGCUUAAACAAUUGAAAGACGUGGCCUGUGGAAUUUUUUGAAGAUUACAAAAAAUAUAAAAAAACUUUAGGAGGUCAAAACUCAAACUUCAGGGGCGAAUUUGGGGAUUCUAAAAUUAUUGAACCCGCCUCUAGCAGAGAUAGAUAGAUCCAAAAAUUUGUUCUGAUCGAUUUUGAUAUAUGGAACGUCAAAAUCGGACUUCGUAUGCGAAAGUUAUGGUUGUUUUACGAACGGACUCCGAAUUAGAGGACAAAACGGUCCGGAAGUGAGAAAAAUUUGCGGUGGUGGCUAGAAAUUGAUGGAAACGGUGGGAAAAAACACACAAAUUGGACUCAAACAAGACCUAACCAGUAACAAGACCUCGACCAGGACACAAACGCAAAACUACGGAUUCUGAAACUGAAAUAUGCAAAGGUUAUAGCGCGGAUGGGUUGUACGACAUGAAAACAAUAUGGCACUAGACUUAUGAGACGAGCACAAGGACACUCGAAACUAAGGGUAGAUGUGAACCUAACGGUAUGUCUGAUGCUUUGAUUACCACUUGAGGAGAACAAGUGUGGCCCGAUCUUCCAAAAGGUUCUAGAAACUAUCGAUUAAGUGGAAACGAGACACAAAUCAAUCCAGCUUGCGAACAACACGAUUCGAAACCCUACAAUUCUUUUUAUUUUUUUUGAUAUUUUUCUUUUACUUAGGAGCACUCAAGAAGUAACCAUAGGAAAUUUGAGGUUAAACAAGUGAAAGACGUGAGCUGUGGAAACUUUUGAAAAUUGCGAAAAAUAUGAAAAAAACUUUUGGAGGUGAAAACUCAAACUUUGGAGGUGAAUUUGGGGAUUCUAAAAUUGUCAAACCCGCACACGGCGGGGAUAGACAGAUCCAAAAAUUUGGUUUGAUCGAUUUUGAUAUAUGGAACGUCAAAAUCGGAGUUCGUAUGCGAAUGUUAUGUCUGUUUUACGAACGGACACCGAAUUAGAAGACAAAACGGUCCGGAAGUGGGAAAAAUUUGCGGCGGUGGCUAGAAAUUGAUGGAAACAGUGGGAAGAAACACACAAAUUAGACUCUAACAAGACCUAACCAGUAACAAGAUCUCGACCAGGAGACAAACUCAACACUACGGACUCUGAAACUGAAAUAUGCAAAGGCUAUGACGCGGAUGGGUUGUAGGACAUGAAAACAAUAUAGCACUAGACUUAUGGGACGAACACAAGGACACUCGAAACUAAGGAUAGAUGUGAAACUAACGGUACAUCUGAAGCUUUGAUUACCAAUUGAGGAGAACAAGUGUGGCCCGAUCUUCCGAAAGGUUCGGGUAACUAUCGAUUUGGUGGAAACGAGACCCAAAUCAGUCCACCUUGCGAACAACACGAUUCGAAACCCUACAAUUCUUUUCAUUUUUUUUAUUUGAUAUUUUGUUUUACUUAGGAGCACCGAAGAAGUAGCCAUAGAAAAUUUGAGCUUAAACAAGUGAAAGACGUGGCCUGUGGAAUUUUUUGUAGAUUGCGAAAAAUAUGAAAAUAAACUUUAGGAGGUGAAAACUCAAAUUUAGAGGCGAAUUUGGGGAUUCUAAAUUUGUCGAACCCGCCUACGGGGGGAUAGACAGACCCAAAAAUUUUUUCUGAUUGAUUUUGAAAUACAUUGAUUUUGAUAUAUGGAACAUCAAAACCGGAGUUCGUAUGCGAAAGUUAUGGUUGUUUUACGAACGGACUCCGAAUUAGAGGACAAAACAGUCCGGAAGUGGGAAAAAGUUGCGGCGGUGGCUAUAAAUUGAUGGAAAUGGUGGGAAGAAACACAUGAAUUGGACUCUAACAAGACCUAACCAGUAACAAGAUCUCGACCAGGACACAAACUCAACACUACGGACUCUGAAACUGAAAUAUGCACAGGCUAUGGCGCGGAUGGGAUGUAGGACAUGAAAACAAUAUAGCAGUAGACUUAUGGGACGAACACAAGGACACUUGAAACUAAGGAUAGAUGUGAACCUAACGGUACGUCUGAAGCUUUGAUUAACACUUGAGGACAACAAGUGUGUCCCGAUCUUCCGAAAGGUUCUGGUAACUAUCGAUUUGGUGGAAACGAGACCCAAAUCAAUCCACCUUGCGAACAACGCGGUUUGAAACCCUGCAAUUCUUUUUAUUUUUUUGAUAUUUUUCUUUUACUUAGGAGCACUCAAGAAGUAACCACAGAAAAUUUGAGCUUAAAUAAGUGAAAGACGUGGUAUGUGGAAUUUUUUGAAGAUUGCGAAAAAUAUGAAAAUAAACUUUAGGAGGUGAAAACUCAAAAUUAGAGGCGAAUUUGGGGAUUCUAAAUUUGUCGAACCCACCAAUGGUGGGGAUAGACAGACCCAAAAAUUUUUUCUGAUUGAUUUUGAUUUAUGGAACGUCAAAAUCGGAGAUCGUAUGCGAAAGUUAUGGUUGUUUUAAGAACGGACUCAGAAUUAGAGGACAAAACGGUCCGGAAGUGGGAAAAUUUUGCGGUGGUGGCUAUAAAUUGAUGGAAACGGUGGGAAUAAACACACAAAUUGGACUCUAACAAGACCUAACCAGUAACAAGAUCUUGACCAGGACACAAACUCAACACUACGGACUCUGAACUGCAAUGGCUAUGGCGCGGAUGGGUUGUAGGACAUGAAAACAAUAUAGCACUAGACUUAUGGGACGAACACAAGGACACUCGAAACUAAGGAUAUAUGUGAACCUAACGGUACGUCUGAAGCUUUGAUUAACACUUGGGGAGAACAAGUGUGGCCCGAUCUUCCGAAUGGUUCUGGUAACUAUCGAUUUGGUGGAAACGAGACACAAAUCAAUCCAGCUUACGAACAACACGAUUCGAAACCCUACAAUUCUUUUUAUUUUUUGUUUGAUAUUUUUAUUUUACUUAGGAGCACUCAAGAAGUAAGCACAUGAAAUUUGGGCUUAAACAAGUGAAAGACGUGACCUGUGGAAACUUUUGAAAAUUGCGAAAAAUAUGAAAAAAACUUUUGGAGGUGAAACCUCAAACUUUAGAGUGGAAUUUGGGGAUUUUUAAUUUGUUGAACCUGCCUAUGGGGGGAUAGACAGACCCAAAAAAUUUUUCUGAUUGAUUUUGAUAUAUGGAACGUCAAAAUCGGAGUUCGUAUGCGAAAGUUAUGGCUGUUUUACGAAUGGACUCCGAAUUAUAGGACAAAACAGUCCGGAAGUGGGAAAAAUUUGCGGCGGUGGCUAUAAGUUGAUGGAAACGGUGGGAAGAAACAUACAAAUUGGACUCUAACAAGACCUAACCAGUAACAAGAUCUCGACCAGGACACAAACUCAACACUACGGACUCUGAAACUGAAAUAUGCAAAGGCUAUGGCGCGGAUGGGUUGUAGGACAUGAAAACAAUAUAGCACUAGACUUAUGGGACGAACACAAGGACACUCGAAACUAAGGGUAGAUGUGAACCUAACGGUACGUCUGAAGCUUUGAUUACCACUUGAGGAGAACAAGGCCCGAUCUUCCGAAAGGUUCUGGUAACUAUCGAUUUGGUGGAAACGAGACACAAAUCAAUCCAGUUUGCGAACAACACGAUUCGAAACCCUGCAAUUCUUUUUUUUUUGAUAUUUUUCUUUUACUUAGGAGCACUGAAGAAGUAACCACAUGAAAUUUGAGCUUAAACAAGUGAAGGACGUGGCCUGUGGAAUUUUUUGAAGAUUGCGAAAAAUAUGAAAAUAAAGUUUAGGAGGUGAAAACUCAAAUUUUCAGAGGCGAGUUUGGGAAUUCUAAAUUUGUCGCACCCGCCUAUGGCGGGGAUAGACAGAUCCAAAAAUUUUUCUUAUCGAUUUUGAUAUAUGGAACGUCAAAAUCGGAGUUCGUAGGCGAAAGUUAUGGCUGUUUUACGAAUGGACUCUGAAUUAGAGGACAAAACGGUCCGGAAGUGGGAAAAAUUUGCGUUGGUGGCUAGAAAUUGAUGGAAACGGUGGGAAAAAACACACAAACUGGACUCUAACAAGACCAAAUCAGUAACAAGACCUCGACCAGGACACAAACUCAACACUAUGGAGUCUGAAACUGAAAUAUGCAAAGGUUAUGGCGCGGAUGGGUUGUAGGACAUGAAAACAAUUUGGCACUAGACUUAUGGGACGAACACAAGGACACUCAAAACUAAGGGUAGAUGUGAACCUAACGGUACGUCUGAAGCUUUGAUUACCACUUGAGGAGAACAAGGCCCGAUCUUCCGAAAGGUUCUGGUAACUAUCGAUUUGGUGGAAACGAGACACAAAUCAAUCCAGUUUGCGAACAACACGAUUUGAAACCCUGCAAUUCUUUUUAUUUUUUUGAUAUUUUUCUUUUACUUAGAAGCACUCAAAAAGUAACCACAGGAAAUUUGAGCUUAAACAAGUGAAGGACGUGGCCUGUGGAAUUUUUUGAAGAUUGCGAAAAAUAUGAAAAUAAAGUUUAGGAGGUGAAAACUCAAAUUUUUAGAGGCGAGUUUGGGAAUUCUAAAUUUGUCGCACCCGCCUAUGGUGGGGAUAGACAGAUCCAAAAAUUUUUCUGAUUGAUUUUGAUAUAUGGAACGUCAAAAUCGGAGUUCGUAGGCGAAAGUUAUGGCUGUUUUACGAACGGACUCUGAAUUAGAGGACAAAACGGUCCGGAAGUGGGAAAAUUUUGCGGUGGUGGCUAUAAAUUGAUGGAAACGGUGGGAAGGAACACACAAAUUGGACUCUAACAAGACCUAACCAGUAACAAGAUCUCGACCAGGACAAAAACUCAACACUACGGACUCUGAAACUGAAAUAUGCAAAGGCUAUGGCGCGGAUGGGUUGUAGGACAUGAAAACAAUAUAGCACUAGACUUAUGGGACGAACACAAGGACACUCGAAACUAAGGGUAGAUGUGAACCUAACGGUACGUCUGAAGCUUUGAUUACCACUUGAGGAGAACAAGGCCCGAUCUUCCGAAAGGUUCUGGUAACUAUCGAUUUGGUGGAAACGAGACACAAAUCAAUCCAGUUUGCGAACAACACGAUUCGAAACCCUGCAAUUCUUUUUUUUUGAUAUUUUUCUUUUACUUAGGAGCACUGAAGAAGUAACCACAUGAAAUUUGAGCUUAAACAAGUGAAGGACGUGGCCUGUGGAAUUUUUUGAAUAUUGCGAAAAAUAUUAAAAUAAAGUUUAGGAGGUGAAAACUCAAAUUUUCAGAGGCGAGUUUGGGAAUUCUAAAUUUGUCGCACCCGCCUAUGGCGGGGAUAGACAGAUCCAAAAAUUUUUCUGAUCGAUUUUGAUAUAUGGAACGUCAAAAUCGGAGUUCGUAGGCGAAAGUUAUGGCUGUUUUACGAACGGACUCUAAAUUAGAGGACAAAACGGUCCGGAAGUGGGAAAAAUUUGCGGUGGUGGCUAGAAAUUGAUGGAAACGGUGGGAAAAAACACACAAACUGGACUCUAACAAGACCAAAUCAGUAACAAGACCUCGACCAGGACACAAACUCAACACUAUGGAGUCUGAAACUGAAAUAUGCAAAGGUUAUGGCGCGGAUGGGUUGUAGGACAUGAAAACAAUUUGGCACUAGACUUAUGGGACGAACACAAGGACACUCGAAACUAAGGGUAGAUGUGAACCUAACGGUACGUCUGAAGCUUUGAUUACCACUUGAGGAGAACAAGGCCCGAUCUUCUGAAAGGUUCUGGUAACUAGCGAUUUGGUGGAAACGAGACACAAAUCAAUUCAGUUUGCGAACAACACGAUUCGAAACCCUGCAAUUCUUUUUAUUUUUUUGAUAUUUUUCUUUUACUUAGGAGCACUCAAGAAGUAACCACAGGAAAUUUGAGCUUAAACAAGUGAAGGACGUGGCCUGUGGAAUUUUUUGAAGAUUUCGAAAAAUAUGAAAAUAAACUUUAGGAGGUGAAAACUCAAAUUUUCAGAGGCGAGUUUGGGAAUUCUAAAUUUGUCGCACCCGCUAAGGUGGGGAUAGACAGAUCCAAAAAUUUUUCUGAUCGAUUUUGAUAUAUGGAACGUCAAAAUCGGAGUUCGUAGGUGAAAGUUAUGGCUGUUUUACGAACGGACUCUGAAUUAGAGGAUAAAACGGUCCGGAAGUGGGAAAAUUUUGCGGUGGUGGCUAUAAAUUGAUGGAAACGGAGGGAAGAAACACACAAAUUGGACUCUAACAAGACCUAACCAGUAACAAGAUCUCGACCAGGACACAAACUCAACACUACGGACUCUGAACUGAAAUAUGCAAAGGCUAUGGCGCGGAUGGGUUGUAGGACAUGAAAACAAUAUAGCACUAGACUUAUGGGACGAACACAAGGACACUCGAAACUAAGGAUAGAUGUGAACCUAACGGUACGUCUGAAGCUUUGAUUAACACUUGAGGAGAACAAGUGUGGCCCGAUCUUCCGAAUGGUUCUAGUAACUAUCAAUUUGGUGGAAACGAGACCCAAAUCAAUCCACCUUGCGAACAACGCGGUUCAAAACCCUGCAAUUCUUUUUAUUUUUUUUUUGAUAUUUUUCUUUUACCUAGGAGCACUCAAGAAUUAACCAUUGGAAAUUUGAGCUUAAACAAGUGAAAGACGUGGCCUGUGAAAUUUUUUGAAGAUUGCAAAAAAUAUAAAAAAACUUUAGGAGGUGAAAACUCAAACUUCAGGUGCGAAUUUGGGGAUUCUAAAAUUAUCGAACCCUCCUCUAGCAGAGAUGGACAGAUCCAAAAAUUUGUUCCGAUCGAUUUUAAUAUAUGGAACGUCAAAAUCGGAGUUCGUAUGCGAAAGUUAUGUCUGUUUUACGAACGGACUCCGAAUUAGAGGACAAAACGGUCCAGAAGUGGGGAAAAUUUGUGGUGGUGGCUAGAAAUUGAUGGAAACGGUGGGAAAAAACACACAAACUGGACUCUAACAAGACCAAAUCAGUAACAAGACCUCGACCAGGACACAAACUCAACACUACGGACUCUGAAACUGAAAUAUGCAAAGGUUAUGGCGCGGAUGGGUUGUAGGACAUGAAAACAAUUUGGCACUAGACUUAUGGGAUGAAUACAAGGACACUCGACACUAAGGGUAGAUGUGAACCUAACGGUACGUCUGAAGCUUUGAUUACCACUUAAGGAGAACAAGGCCCGAUCUUCCGAAAGGUUCUGUGGUAACUAUCGAUUUGGUGGAAACGAGACAGAAAUCAAUCCAGUUUGCGAACAACAUGAUUCGAAACCCUGCAAUUCUUUUUUUUGAUAUUUUUCUUUUACUUAGGAGCACUGAAGAAGUAACCACAAGAAAUUUGAACUAAAACAAGUGAAGGACGUGGCCUGUGGAAUUUUUUGAAGAUUGCGAAAAAUAUGAAAAUAAAGUUUAGGAGGUGAAAACUCAAAUUUUCAGAGGCGAGUUUGGGAAUUCUAAAUUUGUCGCACCCGCCUAUGGCGGGGAUAGACAGAUCCACAAAUUUUUCUGAUCGAUUUUGAUAUAUGGAACGUCAAAAUCGGAGUUCGUAGGCGAAAGUUAUGGCUGUUUUACGAACGGACUCUGAAUUAGAGGACAAAACGGUCCGGAAGUGGGAAAAUUUUGCGGUGGUGGCUAUAAAUUGAUAGAAACGGUGGGAAGAAACACACAAAUGGGACUCUAACAAGACCUAACCAGUAACAAGAUCUCGACCAGGACACAAACUCAACACUACGGACUCUGAACUGAAAUAUGGAAAGGCUAUGGCGUGGAUGGGUUGUAGGACAUGAAAACAAUAUAGCACUAGACUUUUGGGACAAACACAAGGACACUCGAAACUAAGGAUAGAUGUGAACCUAACGGUACAUCUGAAGCUUUGAUUAACACUUGAGGAGAACAAGUGUGGCCCGAUCUUCCGAAAGGUUCUACUAACUAUCAAUUUGGUGGAAACGAGACCCAAAUGAAUCCACCUUGCGAACAACGCGGUUCGAAACCCUGCAAUUCUUUUUUAUUUUUUUUGAUAUUUUUCUUUUACUUAGGAGUACUCAAGAAGUAACCACACGAAAUUUGAGCUUAAAAAAGUGAAAGACGUGGCCUGUGGAAUUUUUUGAAGAUUGCAAAAAAUAUAAAAAACUUUAGGAGGUGAAAACUCAAAAUUCAGGGGCGAAUUUGGGGAUUCUAAAAUUAUCAAACCCACCUCUAGCGGAGAUAGACAGAUCCAAAAAUUUGUUCUGAUCGAUUUUGAUAUAUGGAACGUCAAAAUCGGAGUUCGUAUGCGAAAGUUAUGGCUGUUUUACGAACGGACUCCGAAUUAGAGGACAAAACGGUCCGGAAGUGGGAAAAAUUUGUGGUGGUGGCUAGAAAUUGAUGGAAACGGUGGGAAAAAACAUACAAACUGGACUCUAACAAGACCAAAUCAGUAACAAGACCUUGACUAGGACACAAACUCAACACUACGGACUCUGAAACUGAAAUAUGCAAAGGUUAUGGCGCAGAUGGAUUGUAGGACAUGAAAACAAUUUGACACUAGACUUAUGGGACGAACACAAGGACACUCGAAACUAAGGGUACAUGUGAACCUAACGGUACGUCUGAAGCUUUGAUUACCACUUGAGGAGAACAAGGCCCGAUCUUCCGAAAGGUUCUGGUAACUAUCGAUUUGGUGGAAACGAGGCACAAAUCAAUCCAGUUUGCGAACAACACGAUUCGAAACCCUGCAAUUCUUUUUUUUAUAUAUUUUUCUUUUACUUAGGAGCACUGAAGAAGUAACCACAAGAAAUUUGAGCUUAAACAAGUGAAGGACAUGGCCUGUGGAAUUUUUUGAAGAUUGUGAAAAAUAUGAAAAUAAAGAUUAGGAGGUGAAAACUCAAAUUUUCAGAGGCGAGUUAGGGAAUUCUAAAUUUGUCGCACCCGCCUAUGGCGGGGAUAGACAAAUCCAAAAUUUUUUCUGAUCGAUUUUGAUAUAUGGAACGUCAAAAUCGGAGUUCGUAGGCGAAAGUUAUGGCUGUUUUACGAACCGACUCUGAAUUAGAGGACAAAACGGUCCGGAAGUGGGAAAAAUUUGCGGUGGUGGCUAUAAAUUGAUGGAAACGGUGGGAAGAAACACACAAAUUGGACUCUAACAAGACCUAACCAGUAACAAGAUCUCGACCAGGACACAAACUCAACACUACGGACUCUAAAACUGAAAUAUGCAAAGGCUAUGGCGCAGAUGGGUUGUAGGACAUGAAAACAAUAUAGCACUAGACUUAUGGGACGAACACAAGGACACUCGAAACUAAGGAUAGAUGUGAACCUAACGGUACGUCUGAAGCUUUGAUUAACACUUGAGGAGAACAAGUGUGGCCCGAUCUUUCGAAAGGUUCUAGUAACUAUCAAUUUGGUGGAAACGAGAUCCAAAUCAAUCCAUCUUGCGAAGAACGCGGUUCGAAACCCUGCAAUUCUUUUUUUUUGAUAUUUUUCUUUUACUUGGGAGCACUGAAGAAGUAACCACAGGAAAUUUGAGCUUAAACAAGUGAAAGACUUGGCCUGUGGAAUUUUUUGAAUAUUGCGAAAAAUAUAAAAAAACUUUAGGAGGUGAAAACUCAAACUUCAGGGGUGAAUUUGGGGAUUCUAAAAUUAACGAACCCACCUCUAGCGGAGAUAGACAGAUCCAAAAAUUUCUUCUCAUCGAUUUUGAUAUAUGGAACGUCAAAAUCGGAGUUCGUAUGCGAAAGUUAUGGCUGUUUUAGGAACGGACUCCGAAUUAGAGGACAAAACGGUCCGGAAGUGGGAAAAAUUUGUGGUGGUGGCUAGAAAUUGAUGGAAACGGUGGGAAAAAACACGCAAACUGGACUCUAACAAGACCAAAUCAGUAACAAGACCUUGACCAGGACACAAACUCAACAUUACGGACUCUGAAACUGAAAUAUGCAAAGGUUAUGGCGCGGAUGGGUUGUAGGACAUGAAAACAAUUUGGCACUAGACUUAUGGGACGAACACAAGGACACUCGAAACUAAGGGUAGAUGUGAACCUAACGGUACGUCUGAAGCUUUGAUUACCACUUGAGGAGAACAAGGCCCGAUCUUCCGAAAGGUUCUGGUAACUAUCGAUUUGGUGGAAACGAGACACAAAUCAAUCCAGUUUGCUAACAACACGAUUCGAAACCCUGCAAUUCUUUUUUUUUAUAUAUUUUUCUUUUACUUAGGAGCACUGAAGAAGUAACCACAAGAAAUUUGAGCUUAAACAAGUGAAGGACAUGGCUUGUGGAAUUUUUUGAAGAUUGCGAAAAAUAUGAAAAUAAUGUUUAGGAGGUGAAUACUCAAAUUUUCAGAGGCGAGUUUGGGAAUUCGAAAUAUGUCGCACCCGCCUAUGGCGGGGAUAGACAGAUCCACAAAAUUUUCUGAUCGAUUUUGAUAUAUGGAACGUCAAAAUCGGAGUUCGUAGGCGAAAGUUAUGGCUGUUUUACGAACGGACUCUGAAUUAGAGGACAAAACGGUCCGGAAGUGGGAAAAUUUUGCGGUGGUGGCUACAAAUUGAUAGAAACGGUGGGAAGAAACACACAAAUUGGACUCUAACAAGACCUAGCCAGUAACAAGAUCUCGACCAGGACACAAACUCAACACUACGGACUCUGAACUGAAAUAUGGAAAGGCUAUGGCGCGGAUGGGUUGUAGGACAUGAAAACAAUAUAGCACUAGACUUUUGGGACAAACACAAGGACACUCGAAACUAAGGAUAGAUGUGAACCUAACGGUACAUCUGAAGCUUUGAUUAACACUUGAGGAGAACAAGUGUGGCCCGAUCUUCCGAAAGGUUCUACUAACUAUCAAUUUGGUGGAAACGAGACCCAAAUCAAUCCACCUUGCGAACAACGCGGUUCGAAACCCUGCAAUUCUUUUUUAUUUUUUUUUGAUAUUUUUCUUUUACUUAGGAGCACUCAAGAAGUAACCACACGAAAUUUGAGCUUAAAAAAGUGAAAGACGUGGCCUGUGGAAUUUUUUGAAGAUUGCAAAAAAUAUAAAAAAAACUUUAGGAGGUGAAAACUCAAAAUUCAGGGGCGAAUUUGGGGAUUCUAAAAUUAUCGAACCCACCUCUAGCGGAGAUAGACAGAUCCAAAAAUUUGUUCUGAUCGAUUUUGAUAUAUUGAACGUCAAAAUCGGAGUUCGUAUGCGAAAGUUAUGGCUGUUUUACGAACGGACUCUGAAUUAGAGGACAAAACGGUCCGGAAGUGGGAAAAAUUUACGGUGGUGGCUAGAAAUUGAUGGAAACAGUGGGAAAAAACACACAAACUGGAAUGUAACAAGACCUAACCAGUAACAAGACCUCGACCAGGACACAAACUCAACACUACGGACUCUGAAACUGAAAUAUGCAAAGGUUGUGGCGCGGAUGGGUUGUAGGAAAUGAAAACAAUUUGGCACUAGACUUAUGGGACGAAGACAAGGACACUCGAAACUAAGGGUAGAUGUGAACCUAACGAUACGUAUGAAGCUUUGAUUACAACUUCAGGAGAACAAGGCCCGAUCUUCCGAAAGGUUCUGGUAACUAUCAAUUUGGUGGAAACGAGACCCAAAUCAGUCCACCUUGCGAACAACGCGGUUCGAAACCCUGCAAUUCUUUUUAUUUUUUUUGAUAUUUUUUAUUUACUUAGGAGCACUCAAGAAGUAACCACCGGAAAUUUGAGCUUAAACAAGUUAAAGACGUGGCCUGUGGAAUUUUUUGAAGAUUGCGAAAAAUAUAAAAAAAACUUUAGGACGUGAAAACUCAAACUUCAGGGGCGAAUUUGGGGAUUCUAAAAUUAUCGCACCUGCCUCUAGCAGAGAUAGACAGAUCCAAAAAUUUGUUCUGAUCGAUUUUGAUAUAUGGAACGCCAAAAUCGGAGUUCGUAUGCGAAAGUUAUGGCUGUUUUGCGAACGGACUCUGAAUUAGAGGACAAAACGGUCCGGAAUUGGGAAAAAUUUGUGGUGGUGGCUAGAAAUUGAUGGAAACGGUGGGAAAAAACACACAAACUGGACUCUAACAAGACCAAAUCAGUAACAAGACCUUGACCAGGACACAAACUCAACACUACGGACUCUGAAACUGAAAUAUGCAAAGGUUAUGGCGCGGAUGGGUUGUAGGACAUGAAAACAAUUUGGCACUAGACUUAUGGGACGAACACAAGGACACUCGAAACUAAAGGUAGAUGUGAACCUAACGGUACGUCUGAAGCUUUGAUUACCACUUGAGGAGAACAAGGCUUGAUCUUCCGAAAGGUUGUGGUAACUAUCGAUUUGGUGGAAACGAGACACAAAUCAAUCCAGUUUGCUAACAACACGAUUCGAAACCCUGCAAUUCUUUUUUUUAUAUAUUUUUCUUUUACUUAGGAGCACUGAAGAAGUAACCACAAGAAAUUUGAGCUUAAACAAGUGAAGGACAUGGCCUGUGGAAUUUUUUGAAGAUUGCGAAAAAUAUGAAAAUAAUGUUUAGGAGGUGAAUACUCAAAUUUUCAGAGGCGAGUUUGGGAAUUCUAAAUUUGUCACACCCGCCUAUGGCGGGGAUAGACAAAUCCAAAAAUUUUUUUGAUCGAUUUUGAUAUAUGGAACGUCAAAAUCAGAGUUCGUAGGCGAGAGUUAUGGCUGUUUUACGAACAGACUCUGAAUUAGAGGACAAAACGGUCCGGAAGUGGGAAAAAUUUGCGGUGGUGGCUAUAAAUUGAUGGAAACAGUGGGAAGAAACACACAAAUUGGACUCUAACAAGACCUAACUAGUAACAAGAUCUCGACCAGGACACAAACUCAACACUACGGACUCUGAAACUGAAAUAUGCAAAGGCUAUGGCGCGGAUGGGUUGUAGGACAUGAAAACAAUAUAGCACUAGACUUAUGGGACGAACACAAGGACACUCGAAACUAAGGAUAGAUGUGAACCUAACGGUACGUCUGAAGCUUUGAUUAACACUUGAGGAGAACAAGUGUGGCCCGAUCUUCCGAAAGGUUCUAGUAACUAUCAAUUUGGUGGAAACGAGAUCCAAAUCAACCCAUCUUGCGAACAACGCGGUUCGAAACCCUGCAAUUCUUUUUUUUUGAUAUUUUUCUUUUACUAAGGAGCAGUCAAGAAGUAACCACAGGAAAUUUGAGCUUAAACAAGUGAAAGACUUGGCCUGUGGAAUUUUUUGAAUAUUGCAAAAAAUAUAAAAAAACUUUAGGAAGUGAAAACUCAAACUUCAGGGGCGAAUUUGGGGAUUCUAAAAUUAUCGAACCCACCUCUAGCGAAGAUAGACAGAUCCAAAAAUUUCUUCUCAUCGAUUUUGAUAUAUGGAACGUCAAUAUCUGAGUUCGUAUGCGAAAGUUAUGGCUGUUUUACGAACGAACUCCGAAUUUGAGGACAAAACGGUCCGGAAGUGGGAAAAAUUUGUGGUGGUGGCUAGAAAUUGAUGGAAACGGUGGGAAAAAACACACAAACUGGACUCUAACAAGACCAAAUCAGUAACAAGACCUCGACCAGGACACAAACUCAACACUACGGACUCUGAAACUGAAAUAUGCAAAGGUUGUGGCGCGGAUGGGUUGUAGGAAAUGAAAACAAUUUGGCACUAGACUUAUGGGACGAAGACAAGGACACUCGAAACUAAGGGUAGAUGUGAACCUAACGGUACGUAUGAAGCUUUGAUUACAACUUCAGGAGAACAAGGCCCGAUCUUCCGAAAGGUUCUGGUAACUAUCGAUUUGGUGGAAACGAGACCCAAAUCAGUCCACCUUGCGAACAACGCGGUUCGAAACCCUGCAAUUCUUUUUAUUUUUUUUGAUAUUUUUUAUUUACUUAGGAGCACUCAAGAAGUAACCACCGGAAAUUUGAGCUUAAAUAAGUUAAAGACGUGGCCUGUGGAAUUUUUUGAAGAUUGCGAAAAAUAUAAAAAAAACUUUAGGAGGUGAAAACUCAAACUUCAGGGGCGAGUUUGGGGAUUCUAAAAUUAUCGCACCCGCCUCUAGCCAAGAUAGACAGAUCCAAAAAUUUGUUCUCAUCGAUUUUGAUAUAUGGAACGUCAAAAUCGGAGUUCGUAUGCGAAAGUUAUGGCUGUUUUGCGAACGGACUCCGAAUUAGAGGACAAAACGGUCUGGAAUUGGGAAAAAUUUGUGGUGGUGGCUAGAAAUUGAUGGAAACGGUGGGAAAAAACACACAAACUAGACUCUAACAAGACCAAAUCAGUAACAAGACCUUGACCAGGACACAAACUCAACACUACGGACUCUGAAACUGAAAUAUGCAAAGGUUAUGGCGCGGAUGGGUUGCAGGACAUGAAAACAAUUUGGCACUAGACUUAUGGGACGAACACAAGGACACUCGAAACUAAAGGUAGAUGUGAACCUAACGGUACGUCUGAAGCUUUGAUUACCACUUGAGGAGAACAAGGCCUGAUCUUCUGAAAGGUUGUGGUAACUAUCGAUUUGGUGGAAACGAGACACAAAUCAAUCCAGUUUGCGAACAACACGAUUGGAAACCCAGCAAUUCUUUUUUUUUUAUGUUUUUAUUUUACUUAGGAGCACUCAAGAAGUAACCACAAGAAAUUUGAGCUUAAACAAGUGAAGGACGUGGCCUGUGGAAUUUUUUGAAGUUUGCGAAAAAUAUGAAAAUAAUGUUUAGGAGGUGAAAACUCAAAUUUUCAGAGGCGAGUUUGGGAAUUCUAAAUUUGUCGCACCCGCCUAUGGCGGGGAUAGAUAGAUCUAAAAAAUUUUCUGAUCGAUUUUGAUAUAUGGAACGUCAAAAUCGGAGUUCGUAGGCGAAAGUUAUGGCUGUUUUACGAACGGACUCUGAAUUAGAGGACAAAUCGGUCCGGAAGUGGGAAAGUUUUGCGGUGGUGGUUAUAAAUUGAUGGAAACGGUGGGAAGAAACACACAAAUUGGACUCUAACAAGACCUAACCAGUAACAAGAUCUCGACCAGGACACAAACUCAACACUACGGACUGAACUGAAAUAUGCAAAGGCUAUGGCGCGGAUGGGUUGUAGGACAUGAAAACAAUAUAGCACUAGACUUAUGGGACGAACACAAGGACACUCGAAACUAAAGAUAGAUGUGAACCUAACGGUACGUCUGAAGCUUUGAUUAACACUUGAGGAGAACAAGUGUGGCCCGAUCUUCCGAAAGGUUCUAGUAACUAUCAAUUUGGUGGAAACGAGACCCAAAUCAAUCCACCUUGCGAACAACGCGGUUCAAAACCCUGCAAUUCUUUUUAUUUUUUUUGAUAUUUUUCUUUUAUUUAGGAGCACUCAAGAAGUAACCACAGGAAAUUUGAGCUUAAACAAGUGAAAGACAUGGCCUGUGGAAUUUUUGGAAGAUUGCGAAAAAUAUAAAAAAAACUUUAGGAGGUGAAAACUCAAACUUCAGGGGCAAAUUUGGGGAUUCUAAAAUAAUCGAACCCACCUCUAGCAGAGAUAGACAGAUCCAAAAAUUUGUUCUGAUCGACUUUGAUAUAUGGAACGUCAAAAUCGGAGUUCGUAUGAGAAAGUUAUGGUUGUUUUACGAACGGACUCCGAAUUAGAGGACAAAACGGUCCGGGAGUGGGAAAAAUUUGUGGUGGUGGUUAGAAAUUGAUGGAAACGGUGGGAAAAAACAUACAAACUGGACUCUAACAAGACCAAAUCAGUAACAGGACCUCGACCAGGACACAAACUCAACACUACGGACUCUGAAACUGAAAUAUGCAAAGGUUAUGGCGCGCAUGGGUUAUAGGACAUGAAAACAAUUUGGCACUAGACUUAU